AGAAACCGCAUCAGUUCUGUGAAACGCUGAAGCUUCGGCCCUGAUGGAGGAACGUCUGUACAGUACUGCUGAAGGUUUCUGCCAUUCAAGAUUCCAGAUGCAUGAGAGAAAAUCUGCUUCAUUUCUGUGUGAAUCUGACUGCUGAUUAGUGGAAAUGAGGUCAACUUUAUGCAGAUUCCCCCUCAUUCGCCCUGUUUGGAUCAGAACUCUGAGAGGCGCGACGCAUCAAACGCGGUGAAAUCCACAGAUCUUGUCAAAUCUAAGCACGGUUUGAGACAUUAUUGAGAUUUCUUCGGAAAACCUUCUCAGGAGUUACAUCUGAUGGGUACGUCUCCAUUUGAUCUCCAUUUGAUCUCACGUCGCUGUCUGGGAGAAACCACUGAGACAUUGUUUUUAUAUAUGUCAUGGUGUGAACGGCAAAACUGGACUCUGAGAUUCUGCUGUUUUCUUAAAAAGUCCACUGACAUAAAGCAUGAGAUUGUCAUGCUUCUGCUCUCGGUGCAGGUGUGCGGCUGCAGAGAGAAACAGAGAGAGAGAGACGAGAGAAGAAAGGAGAGCGAGAGAGAGUGUUAUUCAUCCCCAGGGGGCACUGUUAGCCCUCCACUUCAACAUCAACAACCUGCGCCAUGUGGCCCCAAACACACACACACACACACACACACACACAUGCUCCAGCUGCAGAAGGUGCUGGUGACAGACAUUAAUUUGGUGCUUCAUAUCAUGACACAAAAGACAUCUUCCAUCAAGAGUCCACACGCCCUCCUGCUCAUCUGAGAAUCCAGAGCACAGGUGUCCGUUCGCUGCCUACAGAAACGUCAUAUGCGCAACCAGCACUUAUGAGUUGAAAAAGUUACCGCCGUAAUCCAAACUUGACAUCAAA